UGUAAGCGUAUACCAAAGUUGUUGCAGUUAAAACGCUCGUAGUCGGAAUUUGGCAGUUCCGGAAGUGUGCACGUCGUGUGCGCACUUUGCGGGGACUGCUUUGUGGUCUUGCGUAGGAUGAGGCACUUUCAUUAGUGAACGUCCUCACGCAACCACUCUUUACUGUGAGAAAAUCAGAGUGCUCAAAGCAGGCAUUUGCCGUGAAUGUAUUAGCAUGGAAUAAUAGAAUAGGACUCGGUUCUAUUUUGUUGGUUUGUUGGGACUGAGUAAUGAUUAAGAGGGACAGUUGGGGGCAUUUGUAUUCCGGCGCUAGAGGUGAAAUUCUUAGAUUGCCGGAAGACAAACUGCUGCGAAAGCGUCUGCCAAGGAUGUUUUCAUUGA
rnacentral:rRNA from 1 species